rnacentral:lncRNA from 1 species
GUAGUUUUUUUCUAAAAAAUUUUGAUUUAUACGAAAUGUUUUAUUCAUGUUUUUAAACUCUAUUUUAUGAUGAGGAUUUUUAAUUUGAAUAAUUAAUGAUAUGCAUUUAUUCGUCACUACCGCUGAAAAUAUAGUUUGACAUAAUAAAAUAAAAUAUCUACGAACAUUCAUAAUAAUUACCCUUAUACCAAAUUUAUUUAUUACAGGUGGAAUAGUAUCUGAUCUUAUUUUUUUUCUCAGCAUUCCGCAUGGUAAUAAAAAAGAAAUUUAUGUUUACCAUAAACAUUUCACAUCAAAGAAUGGAACUAUUUUAUUUAAAAGACUUACACUUUUGGUGGAAUAUUGUUUAAUUUAUCUACAUGUUAAAUGUUAUAAAUUGAAGAUUUUUAUCUUAUAUAUAUAUGCAACUGAUGUAUUUAAGACGAUUAAAAUGCAUCAAUUUUGUUUAAGAUAAAAAAAAAUAAAGAUGUUUUGUAAAAAAUGUA